UACAGGGGGUGCAAACGUUGCUCGGAAUCAUUGGGCGUAAAGCGCACGUAGGCGGUUCGUUAUGUCGGAUGUGAAAGCCCUUGGCUUAACCGAGGAAGUGCAUCCGAAACUGGCGAGCUAGAGUACUAAAGAGGAUCGCGGAAUUCCCGGUGUAGAGGUGAAAUUCGUAGAUAUCGGGAGGAACACCUGUGGCGAAAGCGGCGCACUGGACCAUAACUGACGCUGAUGCGCGAAAGCUAGGGGAGCAAACAGG
rnacentral:rRNA from 1 species